rnacentral:rRNA from 1 species
GCUCGCCAGAGAAUUCUAAGCGAAAGCUUUAAACCCAAAGGACUUGACGGUGUUCCACACCGACCUAGAGGAGCCUGUCCUAUAAUCGAUACUCCACGUUUAACCUUACCCCCUCUCGUAUCUCAGCCUAUAUACCGCCGUCGCCAGCCUGCCUGAUGACAGAUUACAAGCCGACACAACUGCUAAACACAAACACGCCAGGUCAAGGUGUAGCUAAUGAGCGGGUUUGAGAUGGGCUACAUUUCCUAUACCAGGAAAAUCACUAACUUCAACAUGAAAAUAUGUUAUAAGGUGGAUUUAGCAGUAAGAAUGGACAAGACAUGUCACCCUGAA